CCCUUAGAUGUUCUGGGCUGCACGCGCGCUACACUGAACAGUUCAACAAGUCUUAACCUUGGCCGAUAGGUCUGGGUAAUCUUUGAACGCUGUUCGUGAUUGGGAUAGACCUUUGCAAUUAUGGGUCUUCAACGAGGAAUUCCUAGUAAACGCAAGUCAUCAGCUUGCAUUGAUUACGUCCCUGCCCUUUGUACACACCGCCCGUCGCACCUACCGAUUGAAUGGUCCGGUGAAAUCUCGGGACGGCGGCUCGGUCGCUUGCGUCCGACUGCUGAAACUUGAUUAAACCAUAUCAUUUAGAGGAAGGUGAAGUCGUAACA
rnacentral:rRNA from 1 species